rnacentral:rRNA from 1 species
UGCAUAUCCAAAAAGCGGAGGAAAAGAAACCAACAGGGAUUGCCUCAGUAGCGGCGAGUGAAGCGGCAAGAGCUCAGAUUUGAAAUCGUGCUUUGCGGCACGAGUUGUAGAUUGCAGGUUGGAGUCUGUGUGGAAGGCGGUGUCCAAGUCCCUUGGAACAGGGCGCCCAGGAGGGUGAGAGCCCCGUGGGAUGCCGGCGGAAGCAGUGAGGCCCUUCUGACGAGUCGAGUUGUUUGGGAAUGCAGCUCCAAGCGGGUGGUAAAUUCCAUCUAAGGCUAAAUACUGGCGAGAGACCGAUAGCGAACAAGUACUGUGAAGGAAAGAUGAAAAGCACUUUGAAAAGAGAGUGAAACAGCACGUGAAAUUGUUGAAAGGGAAGGGUAUUGCGCCCGACAUGGGGAUUGCGCACCGCUGCCUCUCGUGGGCGGCGCUCUGGGCUUUCCCUGGGCCAGCAUCGGUUCUUGCUGCAGGAGAAGGGGUUCUGGAACGUGGCUCUUCGGAGUGUUAUAGCCAGGGCCAGAUGCUGCGUGCGGGGACCGAGGACUGCGGCCGUGUAGUCACGGAUUGGCGACAAAAAAA